rnacentral:rRNA from 1 species
GGACGAACGCUGGCGGCGUGCUUAACCCAUGCAAGUCGAACGAAGAGCGACGGAAGCUUGCUUCUAUCAAUCUUAGUGGCGAACGGGUGAGUAACGCGUAAUCAACCUGCCCUUCAGAGGGGGACAACAGUUGGAAACGACUGCUAAUACCGCAUACGAUCUAGUCUCGGCAUCGAGGAUGGAUGAAAGGUGGCCUCUACAUGUAAGCUAUCACUGAAGGAGGGGAUUGCGUCUGAUUAGCUAGUUGGAGGGGUAACGGCCCACCAAGGCGAUGAUCAGUAGCCGGUCUGAGAGGAUGAACGGCCACAUUGGGACUGAGACACGGCCCAGACUCCUACGGGAGGCAGCAGUGGGGAAUCUUCCGCAAUGGACGAAAGUCUGACGGAGCAACGCCGCGUGAGUGAUGACGGCCUUCGGGUUGUAAAGCUCUGUUAAUCGGGACGAAAGGCCUUCUUGCGAAUAGGGAGAAGGAUUGACGGUACCGGAAUAGAAAGCCACGGCUAACUACGUG